rnacentral:tRNA from 1 species
GGGACUAUAGUUAAUAAUAACAUUUGAGUUGCAUUCAAAAAGUACUAUCAUAUAGUUAGCCUCA